rnacentral:snRNA from 1 species
AAAAAUGGAAGACAUGCCAUGAUCACGGAGGUGGUUUCCCAGGGUGAGCUUACCCGUUGCAUUCCACAUACGCUGACCCCUGCAAUUUCCCCAAUGGUGGGAAACUCGACUGUAUAAUUUGUGUCGUGGGGCACUGCGUUCACACUGUCCCCUG